UUUUAGAUAGUUUGAGAUAGAACUUAGUAAAUAUUUAUUAGCAAAGAAAGGAUUUCUUGUGCAAUUUAAACAAUUGUAGGUGUUAGAUAAGAAAGAUGUGAAUUAAUAAAUUUAAAUAAAAAUAAUCAACAUGAAUUAAUAAAAAACAACAAUUAAAUGAGUAAUUGACUCCUUUGAUAGAAAUAGAUUUGGUUUUAUUCUAAAACUUAUAUCAUAUGUUAUUAAUUUUAAUA
rnacentral:lncRNA from 1 species